CUGACAGGUGGGUUUGACUACUGAACUGACAGGUUGGUUUGACUACUGAACUGACUGAGGUGGGUUUGACUACUGAACUGACUGAGGUGGGUUUGACUACUGAACUGACAGGUUGGGUUUGACUACUGAACUGACAGGUGGGUUUGACUACUGAACUGACUGAGGUGGGUUUGACUACUGAACUGACAGGUUGGUUUGACUACUGAACUGACUGAGGUGGGUUUGACUACUGAACUGACAGGUUGGUUUGACUACUGAACUGACUGAGGUGGGUUUGACUACUGAACUGACAGGUGGGUUUGUCUACUGAACUAACAGGUGGGUUUGACUACUGAACUGACAGGUGGGUUUGUCUACUGAACUGACUGAGGUGGGUUUGACUACUGAACUGACAGGUGGGUUUGACUACUGAACUAACAGGUGGGUUUGACUACUGAACUGACAGGUGAGUUUGUCGACAACACACCUUUGAUUGAAUCCCAGACUUUGUGUGCUUGAACUGAAUAAUGACGUACAGUACUAUACCUAUCGACACAUAAGCAUUUAUUUUAUUCAUCAUUUAUUGCAGCACACAAAAUAACAUUUUUUUUUUCUCUUUUUUUUUCUUCUUUCAAACCAAAUUCCAACAUACACAUACCAAUAACUGACAGACGCAGACAAACAACGACUAUAUCUCCUCUGCCCAGACCUGCCUGGUCACUCCUCCAUCUCUAGUACCUGUCUGGUCACUCCUCCAUCCCUACUGUGGUACCUCCAUGGUCACUCCUCCAUCCCUACUGUAGUACCUCCCUGGUCACUCCUCCAUCCCUACUGUGGUACCUCCCUGGUCACUCCUCCAUCCCUAGUACCUCCCUGGUCACUCCUCCAUCCCUACUGUAGUACCUCCCUGGUUACUCCUCCAUCCCUAGUACCUGCCUGGUCACUCCUCCAUCUCUAGUACCUGCCUGGUCACUCCUCCAUCCCUAGUACCUGCCUGGUCACUCCUCCAUCCCUAGUACCUGCCUGGUCACUCCUCCAUCCCUAGUA
ensembl:lncRNA